ACUCCUACGGGAGGCAGCAGUAGGGAAUCUUCGGCAAUGGGGGCAACCCUGACCGAGCAACGCCGCGUGAGUGAAGAAGGUUUUCGGAUCGUAAAGCUCUGUUGUAAGUCAAGAACGAGUGUGAGAGUGGAAAGUUCACACUGUGACGGUAGCUUACCAGAAAGGGACGGCUAACUACGUGCCAGCAGCCGCGGUAAUACGUAGGUCCCGAGCGUUGUCCGGAUUUAUUGGGCGUAAAGCGAGCGCAGGCGGUUUGAUAAGUCUGAAGUUAAAGGCUGUGGCUCAACCAUAGUUCGCUUUGGAAACUGUCAAACUUGAGUGCAGAAGGGGAGAGUGGAAUUCCAUGUGUAGCGGUGAAAUGCGUAGAUAUAUGGAGGAACACCGGUGGCGAAAGCGGCUCUCUGGUCUGUAACUGACGCUGAGGCUCGAAAGCGUGGGGAGCGAACAGGAUUAGAUACCCUAGUAGUCCCAUG
rnacentral:rRNA from 1 species